CUUUGAACGCAAGUUGCGCCCCAAGCCGUUAGGCCGAGGGCACGUCUGCCUGGGUGUCACGC
rnacentral:rRNA from 1 species